rnacentral:rRNA from 1 species
AUUGAACGCUGGCGGCAUGCCUUACACAUGCAAGUCGAACGGUAACAGGUCUUCGGAUGCUGACGAGUGGCGAACGGGUGAGUAAUACAUCGGAACGUGCCCAGACGUGGGGGAUAACGAGGCGAAAGCUUUGCUAAUACCGCAUACGAUCUAAGGAUGAAAGCAGGGGACCGCAAGGCCUUGUGCGUUUGUAGCGGCCGAUGGCAGAUUAGGUAGUUGGUGGGAUAAAAGCUUACCAAGCCGACGAUCUGUAGCUGGUCUGAGAGGACGACCAGCCACACUGGGACUGAGACACGGCCCAGACUCCUACGGGAGGCAGCAGUGGGGAAUUUUGGACAAUGGGCGAAAGCCUGAUCCAGCAAUGCCGCGUGCAGGAUGAAGGCCUUCGGGUUGUAAACUGCUUUUGUACGGAACGAAAAGGCUCUGGCUAAUACCUGGGGCACAUGACGGUACCGUAAGAAUAAGCACCGGCUAACUACGUG